CCCUUGUAUGUUUGAUGUUCUAACGUUGGCCCCUAAUCGGGGUUGCGGACAGUGCCUGGUGGGUAGUUUGACUGGGGCGGUCUCCUCCCAAAGAGUAACGGAGGAGCACGAAGGUGGGCUAAUCACGGUUGGACAUCGUGAGGUUAGUGCAAUGGCAUAAGCCCGCUUAACUGCGAGAAUGACGGUUCGAGCAGGUGCGAAAGCAGGUCAUAGUGAUCCGGUGGUUCUGAAUGGAAGGGCCAUCGCUCAACGGAUAAAAGGUACUCCGGGGAUAACAGGCUGAUACCGCCCAAGAGUUCAUAUCGACGGCGGUGUUUGGCACCUCGAUGUCGGCUCAUCACAUCCUGGGGCUGAAGUCGGUCCCAAGGGUAUGGCUGUUCGCCAUUUAAAGUGGUACGCGAGCUGGGUUUAGAACGUCGUGAGACAGUUCGGUCCCUAUCUGCCGUGGGCGUUGGAAGAUUGAAGGGGGCUGCUCCUAGUACGAGAGGACCGGAGUGGACGAACCUCUGGUGUUCGGGUUGUGUCGCCAGACGCAUUGCCCGGUAGCUAAGUUCGGAAUCGAUAACCGCUGAAAGCAUCUAAGCGGGAAGCGAGCCCUGAGAUGAGUCUUCCCUGAUACUUUAAGUAUCCUGAAGGGUUGUUCGAGACUAGAACGUUGAUAGGCAGGGUGUGUAAGCGCUGUGAGGCGUUGAGCUAACCUGUACUAAUUGCCCGUGAGGCUUAACCAUACAACACCCAAAGGGUUUUG
rnacentral:rRNA from 1 species